UACGGAAGGCAGCAGUGGGGAAUAUUGCACAAUGGGCGCAAGCCUGAUGCAGCCAUGCCGCGUGUAUGAAGAAGGCCUUCGGGUUGUAAAGUACUUUCAGCGGGGAGGAAGGCGAUGCGGUUAAUAACCGCGUCGAUUGACGUUACCCGCAGAAGAAGCACCGGCUAACUCCGUGCCAGCAGCCGCGGUAAUACGGAGGGUGCAAGCGUUAAUCGGAAUUACUGGGCGUAAAGCGCACGCAGGCGGUCUGUUAAGUCAGAUGUGAAAUCCCCGGGCUUAACCUGGGAACUGCAUUUUGAACUGGCAGGCUUGAGUCUUGUAGAGGGGGUAGAAUUCCAGGUGUAGCGGUGAAAUGCGUAGAGAUCUGGAGGAAUACCGGUGGCGAAGGCGGCCCCUGGGCAAAGCUGACGCUCAGGUGCGAAAGCGUGGGGAGCGAAACAGGGAUAGGAUA
rnacentral:rRNA from 1 species